rnacentral:rRNA from 1 species
GCCGGGGUCGCCCGAUCGGACCCGGACGUGAAGUCGACGAUGGUCGGUGGGCUGGUUUUGGUAAGCAGAACGGGCGAUUCGGGAUGAACCGGAAGCGGGGAGAAAGGGCCCGAGAUUGCGUCGACGCGGAUCCCGAAAAGGGCGUCGAUCCGUCGCGACAGCGGGACGGUGGUCAUGGAAGUCGAAAUCCGCUAAGAAGCGUGUAAAAACGUACCCGCCCAACGGAUCGGCCCCGAAAAUUGAUGGCGCUCGAACGCAACCCUCGAACCCCGCCGACGGAGGCUAGGGGAGGCCCCGUCGAGUAGGCGGACGCGCGGGUCGCUUCGACGCUCCCGCGCGAGCGGGGGCGGAGCGGCCCGUGGUGCAGAUCUUGGGUGGUAGUUAGCGAUCACCCAGGCGAGAACCCUGAGGGCCGAAGUGGAGAAGGGUUUCUCGAGAACGGCACUCGCUCGAGAGUUUAGUCGAUCCUAAGCUGCCGGCGGCAGCCACGAAACGGUCGAUCGGGGCGCGAGCCCGGCAGCCACGACCGGGCAGCGAAAGGGAAUUGGGAACCUUUCCCAAACCCGGAACCGGAACGAGGGCGGCGACGC